rnacentral:lncRNA from 1 species
CACCAACAAAAAAUCGGCAAGGUAUUAUGAAGGGCAAUGGAACAAGUGAAGGCAACACCAGAAAAUUAGCGAAACAUUCUGAAGAGCAAUGGAACAAGUUGAACUUUCAACAUUGUAAAACAUAUGCGGAAAGACAUCAUCAGGAGAUAGGGCAAACUUUGAUCCUGUUGACCUGAAAUUCGCGAUCGAUCUCAAAGUCCGAGAGGACCUAAAAGUUCGAACAAUCGAAACAGUUGAGACUGACUCGACACAGGUGUACAGUCUUGAAGAUUCGGAACCUCGAGAGCUCGGCAUGGAAGCCCGAGCUGGGGCAAAGGAAGAGCAAACCAUCGAGAAGAGAAAUCUUGCUGUUUUGUUAACGAUCCCAAAGAUAAGAAGGAAAGGUUAGUAAUAUAUAAUCAGAGGCUAACCCUUUAAUGUGAGACAGAGCGACUUCAUACUCUAGGCUAGUGGCAUCAGAAUCCUUAAAGGCUAUUCACCAAAAAGGAAAGAAAAUGUACCGGGAAGAUAAAAGUAAGAAAACGAGGGUAACAGUGCGCACAAAUGGCAGAGGAAAGCUAAAUAUAGAAAAAGGUAGAGAAGAUUUAAAGCUGCAAGUGGCAAUAAGAUGAAAGGGCAAGCCGAAUUUCAAUAGACGCGGUCAUAAUGAUUCUAGGGGUUUACCCCCUCGACAGUUGGAGCAAUAACUGCCGAGAAGGUAAAGGGGCAAUUGAUGACCCCUGAGUUCACCUCAUCCCCGUCUAGGGCUAGGCCCAUGAAAAUAGCCCACUGCUCUGAGAUUCUCAAGCCAUUCACGCCAAUUGGGUCCAGUCCACUAAGCCUCACGACCAGGUUCAUCCGGCUCCCCUCAUCAGGCCGGCCACGCCACCUCUACUCCUUAGGCCGAUUCCAUUUAGGCCCUGCUCUAUCCUCACUCUCUGGCCCAGCCCAGAACCCGAAAGAGGAUCCGUCCACCCAUCUUGUAGACCCGCCUACCCGAGCCUGGAGAGGAUCAGAGGCCGUUAUGCAUGGG